rnacentral:rRNA from 1 species
AGUUUGAUCCUGGCUCAGAUUGAACGCUGGCGGCAUGCUUUACACAUGCAAGUCGAACGGCAGCGCGGGCUUCGGCCUGGCGGCGAGUGGCGAACGGGUGAGUAAUAUAUCGGAACGUACCCAAGAGUGGGGGAUAACGUAGCGAAAGUUACGCUAAUACCGCAUACGAUCUAAGGAUGAAAGCAGGGGAUCGCAAGACCUUGUGCUCCUGGAGCGGCCGAUAUCUGAUUAGCUAGUUGGUGGGGUAAAGGCCCACCAAGGCAACGAUCAGUAGCUGGUCUGAGAGGACGACCAGCCACACUGGAACUGAGACACGGUCCAGACUCCUACGGGAGGCAGCAGUGGGAAUUUUGGACAAUGGGCGCAAGCCUGAUCCAGCAAUGCCGCGUGAGUGAAGAAGGCCUUCGGUUGUAAAGCUUCUUUUGUCAGGGAAGAAAGGUUGUGGCUAAUAUCCACAACUGCUGACGGUACCUGAAGAAUAAGCACCGGCUAACUACGUG